UCAUACCAUAUCAAAUGAUAUUGAAAUUUGACAAGUAAUUUUUGUGAUGGAAAAGCAAAGUUUAGUUCUGGUGAUUUUGUUUGGUCUUCUCUUCGCUUGUGCCAUUGAAGCUAGUGAGCCUAGAAAUCCACCAUAUGGGAGAAAUGGUAUGAUCUGGCCUAGAAGACCACCACAUGCAACAAAUGGUAUGAUAUGGCCUAGAAGACCACCACAUGCGACAAAUGGUAUGAUCUGGCCUAGAAGACCACCACAUGCGACAAAUGGUAUGAUAUGGCCUAGAAGACCACCACAUAGCAAAGUGUCCAAAUCCGUAUGAAUGUUAUGAUCAAUAUCGUCAUGAGUAAAAUUAUGUAUGCCUUAAGAUUUGAUAUCUGAAAUCUGAUGGAUAAUUUAAAUAAAAGAAUUGAACAUCAAGUUUUAAAACCCGAAUUCACUAUUAUUCAUAGCAUUCAUCACAUUUUCGUGUAUAUUAAGAAAAGAUUAUGCCAAAUAAAAACCCGU
rnacentral:lncRNA from 1 species